AGGAGGCGGCUCACAGACGUCACGCCGAGAGAAGGACACCUGGGAGUCUGACUUCACUUACACAAAGCUCAGGGCCAGGCAAAGCUAAAGUGAGAGAGCCUUCUUGCUCUGAGCUCUUCCUUCUCACCCUGGCAUGCAGUCAUGCAAAUAAACGCAUCGUCACUCGAGAGUCAAGCCGGAGAUCUGUGCGACCCAUACCUGCGUCACGCCCGGCCCCUGGAACACGUGUGAAAGUUGUGCUGGUGUGAUGGUCGUGUGAGUUCCCACUGAGCCUCUGGAGAUUUAAGUAAAUGGACAACCUGAUUGUUUCACGCCAGGAUGUAGGCUCCUGGAGAGACAAUGCUGCUUAACGACUGUGGAAACUCCCCCCGCAGAAGAGGCACCGUCACCCUUUCGAGCCGUGGAUGUCAGAUGUCUUUUCCCUAAAGACUAUUCUCAUGUUUUUACGUCCUCAU
rnacentral:lncRNA from 1 species